rnacentral:tRNA from 1 species
GCCCGGGAGACCCCCCUGGCGAGGGUACCGGGCUGUUACCCCGGUCGUGGGAGGUUCGAGUCCUUCUCCGGGUG